UACGUAGGGUGCGAGCGUUGUCCGGAAUUAUUGGGCGUAACGAGCUCGUAGGCGGCUUGUCGCGUCGGUUGUGAAAGCCCGGGGCUUAACUCCGGGUCUGCAGUCGAUACGGGCAGGCUAGAGUGUGGUAGGGGAGAUCGGAAUUCCUGGUGUAGCGGUGAAAUGCGCAGAUAUCAGGAGGAACACCGGUGGCGAAGGCGGAUCUCUGGGCCAUUACUGACGCUGAGGAGCGAAAGCGUGGGGAGCGAACAGG
rnacentral:rRNA from 1 species